rnacentral:rRNA from 1 species
CCGCAUUGGGAGGGGCUCGCGGCCCAUUAGCUUGUUGGUGGGGUAACGGCCUACCAAGGCAACGAUGGGUAGCUGGUCUGAGAGGACGAUCAGCCACACUGGGACUGAGACACGGCCCAG